rnacentral:misc_RNA from 1 species
UUUCCGUAGGUGAACCUGCGGAAGGAUCAUUAUUGUAUAACCGAGGCGCGAUGGCUGUCGCUGACCCGAACGGUCGUGCACGCCCGAGUGCCCUCCCUCACAUCCAUCUCACCCCUAUGUGCACCACCGCGCGGGUCCCCCUCUGCCUUGUUCGGACAAACGCUUACUUUUUCACACAUACUCUGAUUGCAGCGUAAAAUGUCUUUUUUCUAUUUGCGUUCUCGCUCUCAAUACAACUUUCAACAACGGAUCUCUUGGCUCUCCCAUCCUGAAAUAAAG